UCAUCCCCAUACAUUUCGCUUGAAGCCGUUUUUCUCUGGCUCUCUGGCUCGAUUAUACGUCAAAAGGCUGUCAGUGCUUGCGAAACAGGCGAUUAAACACCGUCCAUGCGAGAUCAACUAUUGCUGCAAGUGGGGACAUAAAUGGUCACGUUCGAACAUGUUUCAACACGUUCCGGAUAGCCCUACAUUCAAUAUAGUUAGAAGCACGCAAAAAAUCCGUACAGUAACACAUGCGGCACAAUGAACGGAGCUUAUGACCAUAUUUCCAACAGUAUCGCCAUCAUCAUCGGCGGCGGCUUCAGGAAACUGUUGCCAUGACAUCGGUCUGGCCGCAACGUAUCCAUAGAUUCACCGAAUCUCUUUAACCUCACUUUUCUGACAGUUAGUGGUAACUUUGUUUACGUUUUUGAAUUUUUACUUUUUUCUAAUGGAUCAAUUCGGGUUAUUCGCGUUGGAAGAGAUUUUGAAGGCUGUUCGCACCUACGUGAACACUCAUAUAUAAUUGUCAAAAUGUGCGUGAUGACAAAAGCAAAAAUAUUUCCUUCCUUCUUUUUCGCAUGCAAAAACCAAACAAAUAUCAGCAACACCGUCAACGCGAAUAGCGCGUGUAGUGGAAAUGCUGCUCAAUUUUUAAUUGUUCUUAGUGUACUGGCACCUCAAGCACAACAUUUACAGUUCAUUUUGAUCACAAUUGAAAUGAUCUGCUGUAAUUAAGAGGAACAGAACUGCAUCACCCGAAGGUAAACAAAGUGUGAAUAGCGGCAGUAAGUGCCAACGUGAGUUAAUCCAACAUUUCGUCCAGUCAAAUUUAUUUAAAUUACUACUCUGAAUUCUGUUCAAAAAAAUCAGAUUACUUCUUUUAGAAAUUUCGAAUGUUCCAUUGAAUGAAAAAAAUGUCCAAUUAACAAAUUUCACACUAGGUAGCAGCGAACCUUGCCAAGCUAAGACCAAAUAAGUUCUGUUUGUCAAUGUAUAUUUAGUUUAUUUUUUAUUUACAUCUGUAAACUCUUAAUAUUGUGUCAAUAAAAUAAUUGUUACCUUAAUAUUACCGAA